UACGUAGGGUGCAAGCGUUAAUCGGAAUUACUGGGCGUAAAGCGUGCGCAGGCGGUUGUGUAAGACAGGUGUGAAAUCCCCGGGCUUAACCUGGGAACUGCAUUUGUGACUGCACGGCUGGAGUGCGGCAGAGGGGGAUGGAAUUCCGCGUGUAGCAGUGAAAUGCGUAGAUAUGCGGAGGAACACCGAUGGCGAAGGCAAUCCCCUGGGCCUGCACUGACGCUCAUGCACGAAAGCGUGGGGAGCAAACAGG
rnacentral:rRNA from 1 species